rnacentral:rRNA from 1 species
GACGAACGCUGGCGGCGUGCUUAACACAUGCAAGUCGAACGGAAAGGCCUCUUUCGGGGGGUACUCGAGUGGCGAACGGGUGAGUAACACGUGAGUAACCUGCCCUUGACUUUGGGAUAACUUCAGGAAACUGGGGCUAAUACCGGAUAGGAGCUCCUGCUGCAUGGUGGGGGUUGGAAAGUUUCGGCGGUUGGGGAUGGACUCGCGGCUUAUCAGCUUGUUGGUGGGGUAGUGGCUACCAAGGCUUUGACGGGUAGCCGGCCUGAGAGGGUGACCGGCCACAUUGGGACUGAGAUACGGCCCAGACUCCUACGGGAGGCAGCAGUGGGGAAUAUUGCACAAUGGGUGGAAGCCUGAUGCAGCAACGCCGUGUGCGGGAUGACGGCCCUCGGGUUGUAAACCGCUUUCGCUCAUGACGAAGCUUUGUGUGACGGUAGUGGGUAAAGAAGCACCGGCUAACUACGUG